GAGGAAAAAUAGUGAGAAAUUGUAAAACAUUAUCUAUUUAGAAGUUUUGAGAAAUGUGGAAAAUUUCCAAAUUAUAAGAGAAGAUUUCAACACUAAUUCAGCAGGAGAAAGAAAUUACAAUCUACCUUUUUUUGGCAUCAUUAUGAAACCGGCAUAAUUUUGAGCAUUUAAUAUGAAGAAUGAAAAACCUGUUUUGCACCCUCUUCCUGACUCCAGACCCACUACUUCCAGACCCAGCUUCCCCUCCAGCACAUAUAUAGUAUCUAUCCAUCAUAGGAUUGGUUCUCAAAUCUAUCUGAUUAUACCCUUGAAUUUUCUUGCCCUGGUAUGCCUUGAAGAAUCUGAAUAAACUGUUUCCAUUACUA